GCGCGCUUAGCUCAGCUGGUAGAGCUUUCGCUUGACGUGCGAAGGGUCGGGGAUUCGAGUUCCUCAGCGCGCACCA
rnacentral:tRNA from 2 species